UACGAAGGGAGCUAGCGUUGUUCGGAAUCACUGGGCGUAAAGCGCACGUAGGCGGAUGUGUCAGUCAGGGGUGAAAUCCCGGAGCUCAACUUCGGAACUGCCUUUGAUACAGCAAGUCUUGAGUUCGAGAGAGGUGGGUGGAAUUCCUAGUGUAGAGGUGAAAUUCGUAGAUAUUAGGAAGAACACCGGUGGCGAAGGCGGCCCACUGGCUCGAUACUGACGCUGAGGUGCGAAAGCGUGGGGAGCAAACAGG
rnacentral:rRNA from 1 species